AAAAAAGGUAAGCUACUAAGAGCGAAUGGUGGAUGCCUUGACUGGUAAAGGCGAUGAAGGACGUACUAGACUGCGAUAAGCUACGGGGAGCUGUCAAGAAGCUUUGAUCCGUAGAUUUCCGAAUGGGGCAACCCAAUGUAUAGAGAUAUACAUUACCUAUAUAGGAGCGAACGAGGGGAAUUGAAACAUCUUAGUACCCUCAGGAAAAGAAAUCAAUAGAGAUUGCGUCAGUAGCGGCGAGCGAAAGCGCAAGAGGGCAAACCCAGUGCUUGCACUGGGGGUUGUAGGACUGCAAUGUGCAAGAGGUGAGUUUAGCAGAACAUUCUGGAAAGUAUAGCCAUAGAGGGUGAUAGUCCCGUAUGCGAAAAACAAACCUUAGCUAGCAGUAUCCUGAGUAGGGCGGGACACGAGAAAUCCUGUCUGAAGCUGGGUCGACCACGAUCCAACCCUAAAUACUAAUACCAGAUCGAUAGUGCACAAGUACCGUGAGGGAAAGGUGAAAAGAACUGAGGUGAUCAGAGUGAAAUAGAACCUGAAACCAUUUGCUUACAAUCAUUCAGAGCCCUAUGUAGCAAUACAGGGUGAUGGACUGCCUUUUGCAUAAUGAGCCUGCGAGUUGUGGUGUCUGGCAAGGUUAAGCAAACGCGAAGCCGUAGCGAAAGCGAGUCUGAAUAGGGCGCUUAGUCAGAUGCUGCAGACCCGAAACGAAGUGAUCUAUCCAUGAGCAAGUUGAAGCUAGUGUAAGAACUAGUGGAGGACUGAACCCAUAGGCGUUGAAAAGCCCCGGGAUGACUUGUGGAUAGGGGUGAAAGGCCAAUCAAACUUCGUGAUAGCUGGUUCUCUCCGAAAUAUAUUUAGGUAUAGCGUUGUGUCGUAAUAUAAGGGGGUAGAGCACUGAAUGGGCUAGGGCAUACACCAAUGUACCAAACCCUAUCAAACUCCGAAUACCUUAUAUGUAAUCACAGCAGUCAGGCGGCGAGUGAUAAAAUCCGUCGUCAAGAGGGAAACAACCCAGACUACCAGCUAAGGUCCCUAAAUCUUACUUAAGUGGAAAACGAUGUGAAGUUACUUAAACAACCAGGAGGUUGGCUUAGAAGCAGCCAUCCUUUAAAGAAAGCGUAAUAGCUCACUGGUCUAGUGAUUUUGCGCGGAAAAUAUAACGGGGCUAAAGUAAGUACCGAAGCUGUAGACUUGAUUUUAUCAAGUGGUAGGAGAGCGUUCUAUUUGCGUCGAAGGUAUACCGGUAAGGAGUGCUGGAGCGAAUAGAAGUGAGCAUGCAGGCAUGAGUAGCGAUAAUUAAUGUGAGAAUCAUUAACGCCGUAAACCCAAGGUUUCCUACGCGAUGCUCGUCAUCGUAGGGUUAGUCGGGUCCUAAGUCGAGUCCGAAAGGGGUAGACGAUGGCAAAUUGGUUAAUAUUCCAAUACCAACAUUAGUGUGCGAUGGAAGGACGCUUAGGGCUAAGGGGGCUAGCGGAUGGAAGUGCUAGUCUAAGGUCGUAGGAGGUUAUACAGGCAAAUCCGUAUAACAAUACUCCGAGAACUGAAAGGCUUUUUGAAGUCUUCGGAUGGAUAGAAGAACCCCUGAUGCCGUCGAGCCAAGAAAAGUUUCUAAGUUUAGCUAAUGUUGCCCGUACCGUAAACCGACACAGGUGGGUGGGAUGAGUAUUCUAAGGCGCGUGGAAGAACUCUCUUUAAGGAACUCUGCAAAAUAGCACCGUAUCUUCGGUAUAAGGUGUGGUUCGCUUCGUAUUAGGAUUUACUCCGAAAGCGAAGAAACUUACAACAAAGAGUCCCUCCCGACUGUUUACCAAAAACACAGCACUCUGCUAACUCGUAAGAGGAUGUAUAGGGUGUGACGCCUGCCCGGUGCUCGAAGGUUAAUUGAUGGGGUUAGCAUUAGCGAAGCUCUUGAUCGAAGCCCGAGUAAACGGCGGCCGUAACUAUAACGGUCCUAAGGUAGCGAAAUUCCUUGUCGGUUAAAUACCGACCUGCAUGAAUGGCGUAACGAGAUGGGAGCUGUCUCAAAGAGGGAUCCAGUGAAAUUGUAGUGGAGGUGAAAAUUCCUCCUACCCGCGGCAAGACGGAAAGACCCCGUGGACCUUUACUACAGCUUGACACUGCUAUUUGGAUAAAGAUGUGCAGGAUAGGUGGGAGGCUUUGAGUAUAUGACGCCAGUUGUAUAUGAGCCAUUGUUGAGAUACCACUCUUUCUUAUUUGGGUAGCUAACCAGCUUGAGUUAUCCUCAAGUGGGACAAUGUCUGGUGGGUAGUUUGACUGGGGCGGUCGCCUCCCAAAUAAUAACGGAGGCUUACAAAGGUUGGCUCAGAACGGUUGGAAAUCGUUCGUAGAGUAUAAAGGUAUAAGCCAGCUUAACUGCAAGACAUACAAGUCAAGCAGAGACGAAAGUCGGUCUUAGUGAUCCGGUGGUUCUGUGUGGAAGGGCCAUCGCUCAAAGGAUAAAAGGUACCCCGGGGAUAACAGGCUGAUCUCCCCCAAGAGCUCACAUCGACGGGGAGGUUUGGCACCUCGAUGUCGGCUCAUCGCAUCCUGGGGCUGGAGCAGGUCCCAAGGGUAUGGCUGUUCGCCAUUUAAAGCGGUACGCGAGCUGGGUUCAGAACGUCGUGAGACAGUUCGGUCCCUAUCUGCCGUGGGCGUAAGAAGAUUGAAGAGAUUUGACCCUAGUACGAGAGGACCGGGUUGAACAAACCACUGGUGUAGCUGUUGUUCUGCCAAGAGCAUCGCAGCGUAGCUAAGUUUGGAAAGGAUAAACGCUGAAAGCAUCUAAGCGUGAAGCCAACUCUAAGAUGAAUCUUCUCUAAGCUCUCUAGAAGACUACUAGUUUGAUAGGCUGGGUGUGUAAUGGAUGAAAGUCCUUUAGCUGACCAGUACUAAUAGAGCGUUUGGCUUAUCUUUAAUAAAGCAU
rnacentral:rRNA from 1 species